UGUCCAUGACAACAGAUUGAGGGUAAAUUUAUUGAAAAAUCUUUAUUAGCAUUCAAAAUAAAUGUCACAAAAUGUUGUAUACUACUUUUAAGAUGCCACGGCAUUACUUGUUUUGGUUAUGCAAGACUAAUGUGAUUUUGUUUCAACAAUAGCCAAUCUCACAUCCAAUUGUGUUAGCAAGACCUUUUACUUUCUUUCUUAUGCUCUUGUUGGAUGGGUUCGGCUUGUAUUUUUUGUGCGAAAGAAUGAUUGAUCUUCUUUUGCUAUGUCAAUCAUUGGAUUGC
rnacentral:lncRNA from 1 species